GCUAGUAGGAGUGAUGCUAGAUGACUCCUCUCCUCUCCUCUCCAGGUUCCUACUCCAGCUAGUAGGAGUGAUGUUAGAUGACUCCUCUCCUCUCCUCUCCAGGUUCCUACUCCAGCUAGUAGGAGUGAUGUUAGAUGACUCCUCUCCUCUCCUCUCCAGGUUCCUACUCCAGCUAGUAGGAGUGAUGCUAGAUGACUCCUCUCCUCUCCUCUCCAGGUUCCUACUCCAGCUAGUAGGAGUGAUGUUAGAUGACUCCUCUCCUCUCCUCUCCAGGUUCCUACUCCAGCUAGUAGGAGUGAUGUUAGAUGACUCCUCUCCUCUCCAGGUUCCUACUCCAGCUAGUAGGAGUGAUGUUAGAUGACUCCUCUCCUCUCCAGGUUCCUACUCCAGCUAGUAGGAGUGAUGCUAGAUGACUCCUCUCCUCUCCUCUCUCCAGGUUCCUACUCCAGCUAGUAGGAGUGAUGUUAGAUGACUCCUCUCCUCUCUCCAGGUUCCUACUCCAGCUAGUAGGAGUGAUGCUAGAUGACUCCUCUCCUCUCUCCAGGUUCCUACUCCAGCUAGUAGGAGUGAUGUUAGAUGACUCCUCUCCUCUCCUCUCUCCAGGUUCCUACUCCAGCUAGUAGGAGUGAUGUUAGAUGACUCCUCUCCUCUCCUCUCUCCAGGUUCCUACUCCAGCUAGUAGGAGUGAUGUUAGAUGACUCCUCUCCUCUCCUCUCUCCAGGUUCCUACUCCAGCUAGUAGGAGUGAUGUUAGAUGACUCCUCCUCUCCUCUCCUCUCCUCUCUCCAGGUUCCUACUCCAGCUAGUAGGAGUGAUGUUAGAUGACUCCUCUCCUCUCUCCAGGUUCCUACUCCAGCUAGUAGGAGUGAUGUUAGAUGACUCCUCUCCUCUCCUCUCUCCAGGUUCCUACUCCAGCUAGUAGGAGUGAUGCUAGAUGACUCCUCUCCUCUCCUCUCUCCAGGUUCCUACUCCAGCUAGUAGGAGUGAUGCUAGAUGACUCCUCUCCUCUCCUCUCUCCAGGUUCCUACUCCAGCUAGUAGGAGUGAUGCUAGAUGACUCCUCUCCUCUCCUCUCCAGGUUCCUACUCCAGCUAGUAGGAGUGAUGCUAGAUGACUCCUCUCCUCUCCUCUCCAGGUUCCUACUCCAGCUAGUAGGAGUGAUGUUAGAUGACUCCUCUCCUCUCCUCUCUCCAGGUUCCUACUCCAGCUAGUAGGAGUGAUGUUAGAUGACUCCUCUCCUCUCUCCAGGU